GAUGUCAUCUGGCAGUUAUCAUGCUGGCCUGGGACUGAGCCCUUGGUUGUAGCUGCCCGGAGAAGGGCAGCAGUCCGGGGUCGCGCAUCCUUCCUUCCCCACUAGGAGGAGCACUUGGCACUCUCUGAGAUGCGUGUGCGUGGCAGGAGACAGAGCCGUGUCUGGUGCUCAGCCGAGCUCCAGAUGCUUUGAUGGAGCGUCACGGCAAGCUCUGCGGAGGCGGUACGACAGAUUGAUUGACGUGCACAUGUGGAUGACACUGGACCCAAUCAGGAGACUGAAGAGUCUCAGCUCAGAUGUACCAUUUAACUUCGAGCCUCCGGCUCUGCGUUGUCGGCCUUCAAAUGGGGACCCUGCCUUUUUCAGGGUUCUGUAGAAGCGAAUGACAAAAAAAAAACAAAAACGUGUCAGGGAGUGUGUAGGUAGAUUGCUCAGAUAAAGGCUUGUGCCUGUAAACAAGGCCCCCAAAGGGGAGCUGCGUGGUUAUUAUCGUGAUGCCCUCUGGGGUGGGCAGCUGUGAUCCUCAUCCCAUAACCACAGAAACAACAAACAAACGGUAUUCAAGAGUCAGCUUGUCUACCACCCCUUUGAAAAGAGUUUACUCUUCAAAGCCCUCCAACUCCCUCCUCCUUUACCUCUUUUUUUUUUUUUUUUUUUUUUUUUUUUUUUUUUUUUUUUUUUGAUUUUUCGAGACAGGGUUUCUCUGUGUAGCUUUGCGCCUUUCCUGGAACUCACUUGGUAGUCCAGGCUGGCCUCGAACUCACAGAGAUCCGCCUGGCUCUGCCUCCCGAGUGCUGGGAUUAAAGGCGUGCGCCACCACCGCCCGGCUCUUUUUUACCCCUCCCCCCCCCAACACCUCGUUUCAAAGAUAUUUUGUAGCAUUUUGUCAAGUACCGGGCAAAGAGUGGUCCUACCGGAGCUGGGUCUUGACUCACCUCCCAGCUGCUCCAGUGCUUUUGGGACAGUCUGUGAACAUUGCUGAACAGCUCUCGUAACAGGAGGCUCCCUACUUCAUGGGACAGCCUAGUUUUCUUCAUUCACACUGAGUUCUGCCUCCCUGCCGUGCUUGUUCCGACCGACUCCUGGGAUCUUCAUGGAGUGAAUGCAGCCCCGUUUUCUAUGCCACCGCCCUUGAGAUGUAGGGAAAUAAAGAUGGUAGGCCCGGCGAA